UAAAGAUAGUCAACUUCAUACGAACCACACCCAAGUAACAGUACCACUCAGGCACUGUACUGCUGCCCUGACGCCCCUUGCAAUUAAAGGAAAAAAGAGAGGGGAGGGGUAGAAAGGCGGCGGGAGGAGCAGCGGAGCGGAGAGAGAGGUAGAGGAGGAGGCCUAGCAGAGAGAGAGAGAGAGAUAGGCACCAUGGAAAACGCUAGAGAGGUUCAGGUAGUGAUGUUCCCUUUGCCCCCCAUUGGCCACCUCGUGACCAUGGUCGAGCUCGCAAAAACCCUCAUCCGCAACCACUCUCUCCUCUCCAUCACCAUCCUCACACCCCAUGACCACCCGUUCGACGCCGCCACCACCGACCCUUACAUCUCCCGCAUCUCGUCGUCCUACUCCCCCACCCGCCUCCGCUUCCUCAAAUUGCCCCCUGUUAAUUUCUCGCCCACCUCUGAUAUGAGACCCCAAACCAUCAGAUCGCUCUUUGCCGCUGCUCACAAGCCCUUCGUCACCGAAGCCCUGAAAUCCCUCUCCAGCCCGUCAUUCCCUGUUCACGCUUUUGUUACUGACUUCUUCUGCACCACCCUGCUGGACGCCGCCAAAGAAGCUGAUGUCCCAUCUUAUAUCUUCUUCACCUCUGGUGCCAAUUUCCUCUCCCUCAUGCUCUUCCUCCCCACCCUCCACGAGCAGAUCCCAUGUGAAUUCAGGGAUUGGAAGAAUCCCAUCCCUGUUCCCGGAUUGCCGCCCGUGCCUCCAAUUGACAUGCCGGUUGCCUUCCAGGACAAGACCAACGACGCCUACAAGUGGUUUCUGUACCACUGCCGCCGGUUACGGGAGUCGAAGGGGAUUAUCGUCAACACCUUUGCGGAGCUUGAGCCCCUGACACUCAAGGCAUUGCGAGAGGGGCUCUGCUUGCCCGAACACCCCAUGCCGACCAUCUACACUGUUGGCCCCCUCCUCAACCUCCAUGACCUGCCUGCCGGUGGCGAGCGACACCAAUGCUUGCAGUGGCUCGACAAGCAGCCCCAUGGCUCGGUCGUGUUCUUGUGCUUCGGCAGCCUUGGUGCGUUCUCUGCGCACCAGACAAAUGAGAUGGCACUGGGGCUCAAGCAGAGCGGCCAGCGGUUCCUGUGGUCCCUUCGCACCACCUCCCACGACAGCGAGCCUCUUUCAGAAGGAUUCGCAGAGCGUACUCAGGAGUACGGGAUGGUGUGGCCCAAGUGGGUGCCACAGGUGGCUGUGCUCGCACACCCUGCAGUCGGGGGGUUUGUUUCGCAUUGCGGGUGGAACUCGACUCUGGAGAGUCUGUGGCAUGGGGUGCCAAUGGUUGCAUGGCCGCUGUAUGCGGAGCAGAGGCUGAACGCGUUGGUGUUAGUGAGAGAAUUGGGAGUGGCUUUGGAGGUGGAGAUGGGGGAGGAUGGGGUGGUGAGGGCUGAGGAAUUAGGGAGCAGAGUGAGGGCUUUGAUGGAAGAGGAGGAGGAGGGGCGAAGAGUGAGAAAGCGUGCAAAAGAACUGAAGGAGGCGGCGAUGAAGGCGUUGGAAGAAGGAGGGUCGUCGCAAUCUUCUUUAAAAGCGGCCAUCAAUGAAAUGCUCAAAGGAGAUGAGGGGAGGGAUCAACUAUGCUAGUUAUUAUGAAGAGAGGGCUUACGAGAGAAGUUAUUAUGAAGAGAGAGGCUUACAAGAGAAGUUAUUAUGAAGAAAGAGGCUUACAAGAGAAGAGAAGAGAAUAUUUUUUUAAUCAGAACUGCAGGAAUUCAUGGAGAACUUACAACUAGCUUCACUUCACAACAAAAUGGAGUCGUAGAGCGUAAGAAUCGGAUAAUUGUGGAUGUUGUGAGAUGCAUGUUAAAGGAAAAAGGAAUUCCAAAUAUUUUUUGGGUUGAAGCUGUGACAACAUCAGUUUAUCUACUGAGUCAAUUUCCUACAAAAGCAGGUAAAAACUCCAUGCGAGAUUUGGUAUGGGAGAAAACCGAAUGCAAGUCACAUAAAGGUAUUUGGUUCUAUUGCCUAUGCUCAUAUUACUUCCGAAUGCAAGUCACAUAAAGGUAUUUGGUUCUAUUGCCUAUGCUCAUAUUACUUCUGCAAAUUGACAAAAAUUAGAUAAUAAGAGUACAAAAUGCAUUUUUGUUGGCUCUAACCCUUCAGAAAAAGGAGUUGAUUAUAAGUCGAGAUGUUUUCUUUAACAAGAAUAAUACUUGAUAUUGGGAAAGUGGUGUAAAAAAAUAUCCUUUAACUUGUAGAAGAGGAAGAAGAAUCUCCAAGUGCAACGGCAAGCCCAUCUACAUCUCAAAUUGAAUUCUCAGAGUCAUCUCCAAGGUAGGUAAGUAGUCUUAUGAUAUUUAUCAAUUGUAUGAAUUUACAUUUUUUUUGCCUUGAAACCUACUUGUUUUGAAGAUGCAACUACAAAGAAAGAGUGGGUUCAUGCUAUGGAGGAAAUGAGUGCAAUUGAAAGACAUAAAACGUAGAGAUUGGUGGACCUACCCCCUGGAAAAUAAGCUAUCGAACUCAUGUAGAUUUACUAAUCCAAAUUGAAUUAUGAUGGAUCUCUACAAACGCAUAAAGCCUGGUUGGUUGCCAAAGGAUACCGGCAAAUUCCAGUUAUUAGUCUUCAGGAACUUUUGCACUUGUUGCUAGGAUUGAUACUAUUAGAAUUCUUAGCAUUGGCUGCUCAAAAAGGUUAGGAACUUUUCCAAUUUAAUGUCAAAUCAACAUUUCUUAAUGGAGAAUUACAAGAGGAAGUUUGUAUAGAGAAGCCCCUGGGAUGUCAAAGGUAUGGAAUAUAAAGUCUACAAUUAAAGUCUACAAUUAAAGUCUACAAUUAAACACUACAAAUCGGGGAAAGUGUUCAAAAAUCACAAGCAGGCUCCUAGAGCAUGGUAUAACAAAAUUGACGAGUAUUUCCUUGACAACAAUUUCAAGAACAGUGUGAGUGAACCAACCCUCCAUGUGAAGUCCAAGGUAUGGAUGAAAUUCUUAUAGUUUGCCUACUACAUGUUGAUGACAUGAUAUUUACAGGAAAUUAUUUGAGUUUGAUAAAGGAAUCAAGAAAAAAUAUGAUGUCAAAGUUUGAAAUGGCAGACUUCAGUCUUUCACAUUUUUUCUUUAUGAUUGGAAGUCAUUGAAGAUUCUCAUGAAAUUUUCUCAUGUCUAGAAAAGCAUACCUCUAGAAAAGCAUACCUCUGAUUUGUUGAAAAGGUUCAAUAUGCCUAGUUCUAAUCCGUCAAAAACUUCCAUGAAUACAAAUGAAAAACUUAUAAUAGAUGAUGGAGUGGAGAAAACAAAUAUUAAAGAAUAUAGAAACAUGAUUGGGGGGCUGAUUUAUCUCACUCACACGGGACUAGAUAUAAUGUUUUCCAUGAGCCUACUUUAGCUUUAUAGAUUGUCCAAGAAAAUACCAAGAUGGUGAAGUUAAGAGAAUCUUAAGACAUGUUUGUGGGAACACUGAAUUUUAGAAUCAAGUAUGAUCAAGUUAAUAAUUUUAAGCUUGUAUUUUAUACUGACAGUGAUUGCACAAGAUGUGCGGAUGAUAGGAAAAGUACUUCAGGUUUUGCUAUUGGUCUUUGGUCCGACAUGAUAUCUUGGGCAACUAACCAGCGACAUUGUGUCGAUCUGUCUUGUUCAAAAGUCGAAUACAUAGCUGCUCAAGUUAAGCAUGUAAACCGUGUGGCUAAGGAGGAUCCUCUUUGAUUUAAAGAAGAAGCAAGAAGGUGCCACAAAUAUACUCUACGAAACCAGGUCCACCAUUACAAUGACAAAAGAUCCUAUCAUUUAUGGGAGGACUAAACACAGAGAAAUCUGUCAUCAUUUUAAUUGAGAGCUCGUAGAUCAAGAUGUGGUAUUGCAACAUAAUGGACCAGAUUACUGAUAUUUUCAUUAAAGCUCUUCUAUAGGUGAAGUUCUACAAGUUGCGUAAACUAAUCUGUGUUGAAGCAGUUUGAAUUAAGGGGACAUGUUGAAGAUUAAUUCAAACUUUUAACCAACCACUAGUGUGUAGUGGUGCUGGUUAUCUCAUGUAAUGAGUAGUUAUUAUUGUGGGUUAGUUAUAGUUAGUUAUUGCAUUAUGGGUUCAGUUGUUAAUUAUUGUAAGUGGGAGGUAGUUUUAUGAAUGGGUUGGUAGUUAUUGUAAGUAGGUAGUUUGUUAUUGUGUGAGUCAAAAAUGUCUUAUAGGAGGUAGUUGUUGUUGUAAAUGGGAUGAAGACCAAUUCUAAGUGAGUUACAUGAAUCUCUAUUUAAAGAGGAGUGUGGGAAAUGUAGGGCAGUUUUCGGAGUACGGUGUGCGGAUGUGCAAAUGUUGAAAUGCACAAACAGCCCAUCCUUUAGGUAGUCUUAAACAGAGCUCUUUUGUUAUUUUUGGGUACAUCAGAUACCCUUGUUAAUUAUAUUCGCACUUCAACCAAUGGAUGGGCAAAACACCUCUGUUUAAUCGAUAGUAAAUGGCAGCAGUUUGAAAGAAAAAGAUACAAGAUACUUCCUUCGCAUACAAAGGACCUUCAGUCUUGUUGUGCCUGCUUAUCUGCCGGAAUGUAUGUGAAUUUGUCUAUGUUUCUUUGGAUAUCUAUGAUCCGUCUGUCUCUCUCAUUCUUAUUAGUUUGAAAACAGUUAGUCCUUUUACCGA